GUGCCCACUUUGGCAGCACAAAUAUUAAAAUUGGAACAAUAUACAGAAGAUUAGCAUGGCCUCUGUGCAAGGACGAUAUGCAAAUUCAUGAAACAUUGCAUAUUAGA
rnacentral:snRNA from 1 species